UGCCGGGGAACUUGCGGAAAGAGGAGUUCGAACUAGGUCAGGGCCGGAAGGCAGCAGCCUUAAGAUCAUCCCUCUUGCCGCAGGCCACUCUCCGGCAUUU
rnacentral:SRP_RNA from 1 species